GAUGAAGAACGUAGUGAAAUGCGAUAAGUAAUGUGAAUUGCAGAAUUCAGUGAAUCAUCGAAUCUUUGAACGCACAUUGCGCCCGCCAGUAUUCUGGCGGGCAUGCCUGUCUGAGCGUCAUUUCAACCCUCAUGCCCCUAGGGCGUGGUGUUGGGGAUCGGCCAAAGCCCGCGAGGGACGGCCGGCCCCUAAAUCUAGUGGCGGACCCGUCGUGGCCUCCUCUGCGAAGUAGUGAUAUUCCGCAUCGGAGAGCGAUGAGCCCCUGCCGCUAAACCCCCAACUUUCCAAGGUUGACCUCAGAUCAGGUAGGAAUACCCGCUGAACUUAAGCAUAUCAAUAAGCGGAGGA
rnacentral:misc_RNA from 1 species